rnacentral:sRNA from 1 species
CUUCAUGGAGACCCACCCAGAUUCACUGGAGAGCAAAGCCUACCAGAGCCCCUGUCAGCAGCACUGUUUCUAGAAGCUUCCACACGAGAGGACAGCAUGGAGUCCUGGGGGCUGAUGAAGCAGCAAUGUCAGCACGAGCACAGGCAGGGAGAGGAAAGAGGAGUAGAGUGAAGGGGAAUGUUCUCUUCAUUCUUCCACCUGCGUGUGCCCCAGCCAACACAUCCCUUCCGUUCCCUGCAAGGCCAUUUCCAGGGAGGCUUAUGAAGACAGCAGAUGAUGGGGAUGGUGAUAGAAGGAGUCUGGAUGCUGAGCCAUGGACCUGGAGAGAAACUGAGUCUGAGGAAUGUCAACAUGCCAAGUCCAUGAAAUAUUAGUGGGCUGGAAUUCUAGCUGCCUGAAAAAAGACAUUCCUCACAAAAGACCUCACAAUCAUAUCCAUGGAAUUAUAGCACUGGGCUCUCCAGAUGGUGCUACAGGAAGACCUCCAGAAAUUUGACAAUCCUCUAUUCAAGGCCCUACCACAGAGACACACAGGAACGGAACUCAGAAUCACAAACAAAGAAACUUUGAUCCAAGAAAGAAAAUGAUCUUUAAAAAGACCCUCGUUUCAUGCUGGCCAAUGCUGAGAAAAUCUGCUCUGGAGGAUAUUUGGAGACGCUGAUUAAAAGGUAGUACCAUCACCACAUAUUUAACUUCCCCCUCUUUUUCCUCUGCUUCUAGGAGUAGAGAAACCAACAAAACCAACGGCAGACAGAUGGUAAGUUUCAAACAAUCUGUCCCCCACCCCACCACUAUUCACACCUUUCACAAGGGCCUAGCCACAAAGCCAGUGCAACAUGACACCAAUCAUCAGCAGAGUGGAGAUGGUUGUCCCAGUGGAGGGGGAUUCUUAGUGUUACGUAGAUAGCAAGCACGAUGCAAAAGUGUUGAAGCAGGAGUGUAAAGAAUAAUUAAAACACCUGCCCAAGACCCAAGCAAGGAUAGGAUUUCCCAGACAUUCCCGAGGGAGAAAAUGCCAUGUCCUUUCCUUCUGGUGUCACAUCAGAAUCUGAAGGCUGCUAGAGAAGGGAGAGAAACAUGAAAGUGAGUCCCAUGCUGAUUGUUGUUGAAAUACCUAGAAAGAAACUGGCAAAGACUAUCCAAGGGAUGCUAAGACAUGUCCGAACUUAUAAAACAGUAGAACCUGAAUAGGAAUUUGAAGUUGUCUAUACUCUCCUCAGCCACACCCUGCCAUUUUACAGAUUGUCUUCUCUGGGGAAGUUAGCUGUCAUGUUGUGGGGAUACUCAAGCAGUUUAUAAAGAGGUUCAUGUCGCAAGGAAUGGAGGCCUCCUGUCAACAGCCAUGUAAAGGAACCAUCUAGGAAACAGAUUCUCCAGCCCCAGUCAGACCUUCAGAUGAUUACAGCCCCUACCAACCUUCUGACUGCGGUGGAAGGAAAGUUCCUGAACGAGAACCACCCAGGUUAAUAUGGGUAAGUCUCAUCCAAUCCUUUGAAGGCCUGAAGAACAAAGAGUGAGGUUUCUGGAAGAAGAAAAUUUUACCUCAAGCCUGCAAUGUAGAAAUUCCGCUUGAGUUUCAUGCCUGCUGGCCUGCCCUGUGGAAUUCGGAGUCAAGAAGGAGUCUUGUAAGCAUUAACUGAGAUAGUAUAUGAAGAGUGCUUUUGCACCGAGUGAACCCUCAAUCAACUGUACUAGUUUGUAUGCCUGGAAGAGCUGCUAUAUAGGAUCAGAAAGAAAAAUAAGGUGCAUACCCCAGAAAAAAAUACUUGCAUAUGAAUACUAGGAGAUGCAUAACAAUGUUCACAGCAGCAGUAUUCAUGGCAGUGAAAAAUGAAAAGAACUUAAAUGCACAUUGAUAAAAACGUCUACUUAUUUGUGUCAUCUUUGCACAGUGGAAUUGUGCGAGUGGAAAUCAUUGAUCUACAGCUAGGAGAAGCAGCAGAGAUCAAUCUCAAAAACAUAAUGUUCUGUGGAAAAAGCUAACCUCAGAACACUUUGCGGCUCUAUCUUAGCAAACCAGGAGAGAAAUUCUCCUGAUGGCCUUGAAGAAGCAAACAGCCACCUGAUUAAGCCCCUGUGGAUAGUGCCAAGUGGCAGGAAAGUGGGAGCAGCCUCUAGGACCUGAGGAUUAAAGUCAGUAAGAGCUGGGACCUCACUCAUGCAGACUCGAGGACAUGAAUUCGACCAACAACUUGAAUGAGCUUGGAAGUGGAUUCUUCCCUAGUCCAGUCUUCAGAGAUUAAGAAUGUUCCCAAAGAAUGAUGGAGACAUUUCAAAAGGAUACAGAAGCCAGAUUGUGGGCGCUUCUACUGGCCAACUCUGGGACAUCGUGGACAUCAGAAUAAAUUUGUAAUAGUAAAGGAUUAUAGCCUAUUAGAUAAAAUCAGAUUUUUCUGAUUUAACUAAAUGAGUAGAAGGAAAAGAAAGCUCUUCCUUAUAUUAGAAAGUCAAUUAAUAAAUGCAGAAAGGAAUGAAACAAUUAGAAAAGCCACCAUUUGGCAACCAUGGCAGGCAGAAUGGGGAGCACGCCUCCAGACAGUAAUUCCUUUCAAGCUGGUUUAUAGGAACUCACUGAGCUUGCCGAUUGACCUCUGAUGGGCAAAGUUUCUGAAUUUUGAAGCACUGAUUAUAUAAACUUAGACAGAGACAUGCUUCAUUAUUUAAUAGGACUGUGUCAAAAGCCUACUAUUAGGAUGAUGUGUUGGGUGUGGAACAGGGUCUGUUCCUGCCAGGGACACUGGUGAUUUCACUCCAUGUUCAGACUGAUCUUUGAAGUUGAAGACAAGCAGAAGAAUCCUUCUAAAAUUUAGCCAUGCCCAUAGGCUGGGAGGGACACUGCUCCAUUCAGAGGCAGCAAAGCAUAUUACUGUAUCUCCUAUAGAGCUUUGAGCAGUCCAGUGCACAUGGAGAAACUUAAUAAAUGUUUGUUGAACUAAUGAAUGAACAAAUCAAUGGACCAAGUCAGGGAUAAGUCUUACAUUUGUCAUCUAGGUGAUUAAGAAAGGAAAAAGUAUCUGUUUCAAGAGGAUUACAAUCUAACUUUACUCCAAUAGUAAAAUUUACUCUUUUGGAAUCUGAAGACA